rnacentral:rRNA from 1 species
UACCAGACUCCUACGGGAGGCAGCAGUGGGGGAUAUUGCACAAUGGGGGGAACCCUGAUCCAGCGACGCCGCGUGAGUGAAGAAGUAUUUCGGUAUGUAAAGCUCUAUCAGCAGGGAAGAAAGAAAUGACGGUACCUGACUAAGAAGCCCCGGCUAACUACGUGCCAGCAGCCGCGGUAAUACGUAGGGAGCGAGCGUUAUCCGGUAUUAUUGGGCGUAAAGGGUGCGUAGGUGGCAUAGUAAGUCUUUUGUAAAAAUGCUGGGCUCAACCCAGUAGGGCAAAAGAUCCUGCAAAGCUAGAGUAUUACAGAGGCAAGUGGAACCACAUGUGUAGCGGUAAAAUGCGUAAAUAUAUGUAAGACCCC